rnacentral:rRNA from 7 species
ACUCGGUCAUUUAGAGGAAGUAAAAGUCGUAACAAGGUCUCCGUUGGUGAACCAGCGGAGGGAUCAUUACCGAGUUUACAACUCCCAAACCCAAUGUGAACGUUACCAAACUGUUGCCUCGGCGGGAUCUCUGCCCCGGGUGCGUCGCAGCCCCGGACCAAGGCGCCCGCCGGAGGACCAACCAAAACUCUUAUUGUAUACCCCCUCGCGGGUUUUUUUAUAAUCUGAGCCUUCUCGGCGCCUCUCGUAGGCGUUUCGAAAAUGAAUCAAAACUUUCAACAACGGAUCUCUUGGUUCUGGCAUCGAUGAAGAACGCAGCGAAAUGCGAUAAGUAAUGUGAAUUGCAGAAUUCAGUGAAUCAUCGAAUCUUUGAACGCACAUUGCGCCCGCCAGUAUUCUGGCGGGCAUGCCUGUCCGAGCGUCAUUUCAACCCUCGAACCCCUCCGGGGGGUCGGCGUUGGGGAUCGGCCCUGCCUUGGCGGUGGCCGUCUCCGAAAUACAGUGGCGGUCUCGCCGCAGCCUCUCCUGCGCAGUAGUUUGCACACUCGCAUCGGGAGCGCGGCGCGUCCACAGCCGUUAAACACCCAACUUCUGAAAUGUUGACCUCGGAUCAGGUAGGAAUACCCGCUGAACUUAAGCAUAUCAAUAAGCGGAGGAAAAGAAACCAACAGGGAUUGCCCCAGUAACGGCGAGUGAAGCGGCAACAGCUCAAAUUUGAAAUCUGGUCCCUAGGGCCCGAGUUGUAAUUUGUAGAGGAUGCUUUUGGUGAGG